UGGGGAAUAUUGCACAAUUGGCGCAAGCCUGAUGCAGCCAUGCCGCGUGUAUGAAGAAGGCCUUCGGGUUGUAAAGUACUUUCAGCGGGGAGGAAGGGAGUAAAGUUAAUACCUUUGCUCAUUGACGUUACCCGCAGAAGAAGCACCGGCUAACUCCGUGCCAGCAGCCGCGGUAAUACGGAGGGUGCAAGCGUUAAUCGGAAUUACUGGGCGUAAAGCGCACGCAGGCGGUUUGUUAAGUUAGAUGUGAAAUCCCCGGGCUCAACCUGGGAACUGCAUCGGAUACUGGCAAGCUUGAGUCUCGUAGAGGGGGGUAGAAUUCCAGGUGUAGCGGUGAAAUGCGUAGAGAUCUGGAGGAAUACCGGUGGCGAAGGCGGCCCCCUGGACGAAGACUGACGCUCAGGUGCGAAAGCGUGGGGAGCAAACAGG
rnacentral:rRNA from 1 species